GUCCUCUCAGGGUCGCACCUGGAGAGUUUCCAGUUCUCUACCAGUGUCAGCUAUGGGAGGGAGAGUCAAGCAGAGGCCGAUCCAUUCCAUUCCUAGCUUGGGAAGGGGCUAGCGCGUGGAAGACCAUCUGCUACAAGU